UAGCACUAACGUAGCGUCAUCUGUUCUUCACGAUCGCAAUUGAAAUCUGAGGUGAUUUUUCUUUCUCUCUACCGGAUCGGCUCUACAAUCUGGCGGUGGAUUCAUUUAAGCAAUGUGGUUUAUGGGAAAACUGUCGAUUCAUUCCUUCAAUAUGAACGAAGAUUUUACUAUUAUGCCACGAGGUAACUUGGAAGCCAUUCACCCUCGAGCUUUGUCUUCAAACAUCAUGAAAUCCCUAAUUGAUGGGAAAUCGUUUGCUGCUGCGUUUGACUUGAUGAUGAAGCAACGCAUAAAUUUGAAUCUUUUAUACGAUCAUAAUCCCAGAGCAUUUCUGGAACAUUGAUCACAGUUUGUCGAGCAAGUUAGCUGCGUCGAUGUUGCAAAUCUCAACCUCCUUCUAGGAAAACUACAGAACAAAGAUUUUACUACAACAAUGUACCAAAAUCAUUGUGAAGAGAAAUCUGCGCCGAAGGAUGAAGAAAAAGUCGACAGAAUUUGUAAUAAACUUAGAGAGGUUUUGUUUGAAUCAGACAGCCAGAAAUACCUUCUUCCAGUAGUAACUUCAUACAUCAAACAAGGAAUGGUUGACACAGCCUUAAAGAGGGUCCAAGUCCUCGCGGAAGAAUCAUUGAAAGAUCAGGCACUCAAACACAUGGCUGUUUUGGUUGACGGAGACCAACUUUACAAAGAAGCAUUGGCUACCUACAACUUACAAUUAACUUUGAUGGUAGCACAUCGGAGCCAAAAGAAAACAGAACAGAUCACCAGUUACAUGAAUUCUAAUUUUAUAUAUAUGCAUAUUUAUUGAUAAUUAAAAAUUUUAAAUAAAAAUAAUUUGUGUUGCUGUG